rnacentral:piRNA from 1 species
UGCUGAGUCCCCAAUAGAAGCCUGAGGU